rnacentral:lncRNA from 1 species
AUGGACUUCCAGCAUCGCACUGGGGGCAAGACCAGGAGCAGGGGCAUGGCCUCCUCUGAGAGCAAUCAUGACCGCAGGGAACACCUCUGGCAGCUGGCCCUGGAGACCAUCGACAUCAAUAAGGACCCAUACUUAAUGAAAAACCACCUGGGCCCCUAAGAAUGCAAGUGCUGCCUGAUGCUUCUCAACAAGAAGGGGAGCUAUCUGGCACAUACCCAGGGGAAGAAGCACCAGACCAACCUGGCCUGGCGAGCAGCCAAGGAGGCUAAGGAGGUGGCAUCAUGCUGUGCCACUGCUUCAUGUCUGCAUACGAACAGAGGAUCAAGCCCCUGGACCAGUGCUGGCAUGACUUGCUGAUGGCUGCCGAGCCCUACGAGACCAUCACCUUCAAGGUGCCGAGCAGGGAGAUCAACAAGGUGGAAGGCACAUUCUGGACACACUGGAACCAGGAGACCAAGCAGUUCUUCCUCCAGUUCCACUUUAAGAUGGAGAAGCCCCAGCCUCUCCACUGGACCCCUGGGGUGAAGCGACCUCCACCCCUGCUGAUGAACGAUCUGCCCCCUUGGCCGCCGCUGUCUGAGUCUUUGCCACUGCCCCUUCCAGGAGGUCUGCCUCUGCCACCCAUGUCCCCCACAGGGCCUGCACCCUCAGGGCCCCUGGGACCACCUCAGCUGCCCCCACCAGCUCCAGGGGUCCGCCCCCCAGCCCCAGUGGUGCAAUCCCACAUCUGGGGUCCAUCCUCCAGCCCCCGGGGUUCACCCAUCAGCCCCCGGAGUCCACCCACCAGCUCAUGGGGUUCACCCACCAGCCCCAGGGGUCCAUCCUCCCCUAUCAGUGGGGGUUCACCCCCAGGCCCCAGGGGUGCACCCAGCAGCCCCUGCCAUUCACAUUCACCCUGGGAAUGCACCCACCAGACCCAGGGAUGUAACCUCAGGCCCUGGGGGUCCACCCCCAAUCUCCUGGGGUCCAUCCGUCAGUUCCUGGGGUCCAUCUUCAGCCUCCUGGAGUUUACCCCUCAAAUCCUGGGUACACCCCCCAACUCCCAUGCCUCCAAUGCUGAGGCCCCCCUCCCCUCCAAAGGCGCAGGGAACAUACGUCCCCCUCCCCCAACCAACUGA